GAUGAACGCUGGCGGCGUGCCUAAUACAUGCAAGUCGAGCGAACAGACGAGGAGCUUGCUCCUCUGACGUUAGCGGCGGACGGGUGAGUAACACGUGGAUAACCUACCUAUAAGACUGGGAUAACUUCGGGAAACCGGAGCUAAUACCGGAUAAUAUAUUGAACCGCAUGGUUCAAUAGUGAAAGACGGUUUUGCUGUCACUUAUAGAUGGAUCCGCGCGGCAUUAGCUAGUUGGUAAGGUAACGGCUUACCAAGGCAACGAUGCGUAGCCGACCUGAGAGGGUGAUCGGCCACACUGGAACUGAGACACGGUCCAGACUCCUACGGGAGGCAGCAGUAGGGAAUCUUCCGCAAUGGGCGAAAGCCUGACGGAGCAACGCCGCGUGAGUGAUGAAGGUCUUCGGAUCGUAAAACUCUGUUAUUAGGGAAGAACAAAGGUGUAAGUAACUAUGCACGUCUUGACGGUACCUAAUCAGAAAGCCACGGCUAACUACGUG
rnacentral:rRNA from 1 species